rnacentral:rRNA from 1 species
CAAGUCGAACGAAUCCCAUCUGGGUAACUGGGUGGGGGAAGUGGCGAAAGGGGCAGUAAGGCGUGGGCAACCUACCCCGGGGACGGGCAUAGCCGUCCUAACGGACGGGUAAUUCCUGGCGAUUCGGCGGAGGGGCAUCUCUCUGUCGGGAAAUGAGUUUCGCCUCGGGAGGGACUCACGUAGUAUUAGCUUGUUGGUGAGGUAACGGCUCACCAAGGCGAAGAUGCUUAGCGGGUGUGAGAGCACGACCCGCGCCACUGGCACUGCGACACUGGCCAGACUCCUACGGGAGGCUGCAGUCGAGGAUCUUCGGCAAUGGGCGCAAGCCUGACCGAGCGACGCCGCGUGUGCGAAGAAGGCCUUCGGGUUGUAAAGCACUGUCGAGGGGAAGAAAGCCGCAAGGUUGAUCGACCCCUGGAGGAAGCACGGGCUAAGUUCGUGCCAGCAGCCGCGGUAAGACGAACCGUGCGAACGUUGUUCGGAUUCACUGGGCUUAAAGGGCGCGUAGGCGGGUUGUCAAGUCGGUGGUGAAAUCUUUCGGCUCAACCGGAAGACGGCCUCCGAUACUGGCAGUCUUGAGGGGGGUAGGGGCAUGCGGAACUUCAGGUGGAGCGGUGAAAUGCCUAGAUAUCCCGAAGGAACGCCGGUGGCGAAAAGC